ensembl:lncRNA
AUGGAGUCUAUCAAGCUGUGUGGGAAUCCCAUGGCUGCAGAUGCAGAGAACCAUGGCUCUCACCUCAUCUUUACACGGGUCACUCUUUGGACUGGCGCUUUUGUGAACACAGGCUCUAUCAAGCUGAUGUAUAUGGUCAUCUUCCAUUUGAGUUCUAGCAGUGAUGAAUACCCGCCACUCUGCUGUGCUUGUCACACGUUUGGCACGCAUUUCGGUGGAGGAAGACUGCGAAGGAGCAACGCUAGGUCACUGAUAUUGCUAGGGGCAAAAUGCUGUUGCGUGUUCAAUUCGGAGAAGAGCAGAAAUACGUCAAGCUGUCUGAGCUGACAUUCAAUGCUUUCUUGAAAGAAGGUGCCUCUCAAUCAUCAUCAUGCUCGGGUACAUCUGAUGACACCGUCAUCCUGAAUUUCACGAUGUGUGACCCUGUUGAAGAAGAAGCCGCGGCCGAAGGAAGCCAGCCUAAAAGGCCAUGCCACAUAAACUACAAGGCAAAAGCGGUAAGUGGUGGAAAUUGCUAAAUCCAAGUUGCUUAAAUUGUUAAGUCUAAUCUGAAUGUUGUUUCACCAUGGGAAGUGUUCUUAGAUAACAGUUUUUUCCAUCAUUAUUACAUAUGGUUUUACAAUAACGGAAAGUACAUUUUAUUCCACCUAUAGUUGAUUGAAAAAAUCUUAACAUCAAAGCCUGGUGGUGAAUGCAUUAUGCAAGAGUAUGGAAAAACCAAAUCCCUUACAGAUGCCACCAGAAGACAGAUGAUUAACAUACUUGCUGCUGAGAUGACAGAAACACAUGGGUAAGCAUUAAGCAUAUAGCUGGGCUGUAAAUAAACAUUAUUAUUUUACAAAUAUCA